UACGUAGGGUGCGAGCGUUGUCCGGAAUUAUUGGGCGUAAAGAGCUUGUAGGCGGUUUGUCGCGUCUGCUGUGAAAAUCCGGGGCUCAACCCCGGACUUGCAGUGGGUACGGGCAGACUAGAGUGUGGUAGGGGAGACUGGAAUUCCUGGUGUAGCGGUGAAACGCGCAGAUAUCAGGAGGAACACCGAUGGCGAAGGCAGGUCUCUGGGCCACUACUGACGCUGAGAAGCGAAAGCAUGGGGAGCGAACAGG
rnacentral:rRNA from 1 species